GAUGAACGCUGGCGGCGUGCCUAACACAUGCAAGUCGAGCGAACGGACGAGAAGCUUGCUUCUUUGAUGUUAGCGGCGGACGGGAGAGUCACAUGUGGAACACCCACCUAUCAGUCUGGGAUAAUCUCGGGAAUCCGGAGCUAAUCCCGGAUAAUAUUUUGCACCGCAUGGUUCAAAAGUGAAAGACGGUCUUGCUGUCACUUCUCGAUGGUUCCGCGCUGCAUUAGCUAGUUGGUAAGGUAAAGGCUUAUCAAGGCGACGAUGCAUAGCCGACUGGUGAGAGUGAUCGGCCGCAUGAGAACUGGAACGCGGUCCAGGCUCCUACGAGACGCAGCAGUAGGGUAUCUGACGCAAUAGGCGGAAACCUGACGGAGCGGCGGCACGUGUGAGAUGGAGAUCUUCGGUGCGUAAUGCUCUGUUAUUGGGUAUAAACAUAUUUGGAAUGAGCUGAACACAGCGUGACGGUACCGAGUCAGAAAGCCACGGCUAACUACGUG
rnacentral:rRNA from 1 species